UACGUAGGGGGCAAGCGUUGUCCGGAAUCAUUGGGCGUAAAGAGCGCGUAGGCGGUCCGGUAAGUCGGUUGUGAAAACUGGGGGCUCAACCCUCAGAGGCCGACCGAUACUGCUGGGCUAGAGUCCGGAAGAGGCGAGUGGAAUUCCUGGUGUAGCGGUGAAAUGCGCAGAUAUCAGGAGGAACACCGGUGGCGAAGGCGGGUCUCUGGGCCGUAACUGACGCUGAGGAGCGAAAGCGUGGGGAGCGAACAGG
rnacentral:rRNA from 1 species